rnacentral:misc_RNA from 1 species
ACGGCACCUGGCAGCUAGCGG